GACGUCAACUACUCUUUUUCUUGGGCUUUUCUUUUUCUCGUUCUUGGUACAUACAAUAUAAACGGAGGAGGAGCUGUAAGCUAUUACAGACUGCAUGCCAUGCAGUAGUCGAAUUCAGUUUCUGUUUGAAAGAGAAUUUGCUUCAUUUAUUCAGUUUCUGCUGCUCUUCGAAAAAUCCCUAGCUCCUAUCUGAGGUCCUGCAGAAAAAUAGCUCGCGGUGGUAACGGUUCAAACUCUACGGAUAUUGUGCAUCUUUUAAUCCAAAAUACUGAGAUAUGAGCAACCAAGUCAACACCGUAUCAAUUGACUUACGAAAUUUAGAUGGGAUCUAUUUAUUGGAGGAGUCUGACCAGGAAAAUGGAGGGCAAAGAAGCACCAGUGUAAAAGGGCCAGCAGUAGAGGAAAUUAUCAAAACACGAGCUAAGGAAAUGCAUAGGUGGAAUACAUUCUUCAUUAUUCUGUGUGCAUUUGCGGUCUUCAUUGAUCCUUUAUUCUGCUAUGCCAAUGUCAUUGAGGAAGACCAUAUGUGCUUCAAUUACGACAUGAAAUUGCUGUAGGCAUAUGUUGGUUUGCGAAUGGUCGUUGAUGUCUUUUAUAUUGUUGACAUAAUCAUUUUGUUGUGCGGAAUGUUUAAGAAACGUAAGGGUAAGAAACUUUCGGCAUGCUAGAAGUCAAGAAAUGAUCAAAAGACUGUAGUUCCUCGGAAACAAGUAAUCAAAAGACGGUACUCCGUUCUGUUACCCAUUCUACCUGGUAUAUUGGUUGCCCUUCCCAUUCCAGAGGUACUCUCACUCUCUGGAUUCUGGGUAUUCUGGGAUCCUAUUUAUGUUAUUUUUAUUUUCACCUCAAUCCAAUACAUGUUGCGGAUCUUUCUUAUCUAUGGAUCACAAAGGUGGCGUCUUAUGAAAAAGGCUGCGACAGGAAGAUGGCUUAAACCUUUGUUGGAUUUUCUGCCUGUCGUCCUUGCUUCUCAUAUCUGAGGUGAAUCGACAAGAAAUUCUGGUUUUGCGUUUGGCUCCAAACUAAAUUGGGGUUUCUCAUCUCACCUACUUGGAUUCCGCCGAAGUGGACAUAGCCUUGCAGCGAUCAUCAUACACGGUAACCCUUUAUUCUUCGACAUUCAGUUCCUCGAUUUCUAGAGUUUCUCUAGUUUUCCAAUAUUGACCCUUUUUCCGGCUCUUGUGCUUCUUCUUCGGGAUCGGCUAUCCACAUCAUCUACACUGAGAGGCCGCAGCAAAAUGAUGAGGAGCCUGAGCUAUCACAUCCGAACUUUAGCCUCCGUCCUUGGCAGUGAAAAGGCUGCCAAGGCGGCUCUGGUUUACAGUUACAGGAUGGCUGCCAGUGGAUUCUCUGCUAAGCUCACUCAACCGGUCGCAAAAAAUCUCGAGGACUGGAGAAGAAUCUCAUCACAAAAUCAUUUACUCGUGCAUGUAUUUGCUUCACUUGCAGAUGAUGUAAAAUUUGACAACAUACCACAUGAGCAGAUGGCUUUAGUUCAACAAUUCAUUUGACCAGCUUUACUUAUUCAACCCUUUGCCGAAAGCAUGGAUAGAUGAAUGGCUGCAGUACGUUGUUGUGAUCAUGGAUCAUGGAUCAUGGCGCGGCAGAGAGAUCAUGGAUCUUUGGGAUCAGAUUUGCACAAAUCUUCGAACCAGUUACUAUCAAAGAGCUUGAUUACUACACAUAUCCAAUGAUCAACAAUAGACUCAUUGUGAUAUGAACUAUAAGCCUCCCUCUAUAAAGAUUGUCAGCAAUACAAACCAUAAAAACACAGGCAAAGUAUAUGGGCAAAGUUUCUUGAUGCGAGUUAGAAUCCGGUACCAUGGGAACGGAAGCUGAUGUUCCAGAAGCUAUACGUAUCGCGGGAGAUGCAUAUUAUGAAGAGCAAGUAGGAGUAGUGAUUCACCAAAUGUUUCAGCAGUUCCAUGUGCUUGGAGAAGGGAUGAGCUUGUUGCUAGCUUUACCUUCAACCCUUUGCUGAAAGCAUGGAUAAAUGAAUGACUUCAGUGGUGUGAUACUAAAUCUUACAGAUUUGAUUUUGUACUCGUCUUAUCUAGUUAAGUGUAAGAGAUAUAUGUAGUGGCAUCUGUUAGGGAUGAAAAUUUUAUGAAGUGUUUCUUUUACAUUCAGCUUCUUAUAUAUAUGAUAUGAGGGUAAUACGAAUAUGACAU